GUCUUUGGUUAUAUAGUUUUGUAUUUUAUAAUAUAUGUAUAAAGGGGUUGUGUUUUGUGUAAAAAAAUUGGGGCAUGAUCCGAGGAACAAAUGAUUGUCCCGCGAAAGGCCGCCCCAAAGAUUCACAUAGGGGUGUGUAAUUUUUCAGUUUUGUUCACUGAUGAUCCUUCCGCAGGUUCACCUACGGAAA
rnacentral:misc_RNA from 1 species